CUCCCUGGCAAUGGGCAAAGAAACACCUUCUUGGUGCUGAUAUUCUUCUAUCAGUCAAGGGCAGAGCAGAUGGCAGUCCUUUGUUCAUCCUAGUUUGAUGCCUGGCUUACUGGGCAAAGCUGUCUUAUGUCUAGGACUCAAAA